rnacentral:rRNA from 1 species
AUUGAACGCUGGCGGCAUGCUUUACACAUGCAAGUCGAACGGCAGCGCGGGCUUCGGCCUGGCGGCGAGUGGCGAACGGGUGAGUAAUACAUCGGAACGUGCCCAGUAGUGGGGGAUAGCUCGGCGAAAGCCGGAUUAAUACCGCAUACGACCUGAGGGUGAAAGCGGGGGAUCUUAGGACCUCGCGCUAUUGGAGCGGCCGAUGGCAGAUUAGCUAGUUGGUGGGGUAAAGGCCUACCAAGGCGACGAUCUGUAGCUGGUCUGAGAGGACGACCAGCCACACUGGGACUGAGACACGGCCCAGACUCCUACGGGAGGCAGCAGUGGGGAAUUUUGGACAAUGGGCGAAAGCCUGAUCCAGCAAUGCCGCGUGUGUGAUGAAGGCCUUCGGGUUGUAAAGCACUUUUGGCGGGAAAGAAAAGGACUGUGCCAAUACCACGGUUCGAUGACGGUACCCGCAGAAUAAGCACCGGCUAACUACGUG